GAGCCAUUAGCCCUAAGGGAUACGGAUGAAGUAGAUCCAACCAUCCCACUGCUUGAUGAAGAAGCACAGAACUUUGAAUUCAAGGCUGCUUUUAUCUAGAUCCCUGACUGACCUGCACUGAGGAGAAAGCAGUUCCAGCUUUGGAAACUGGGGCACUGGGGGAGCCAGGUUCAGGGACAGAGAAUUUGAGCAGUGUCCUGGUAACAGCCUGCAUGGAAGCAGAGGUCAGUUCCUGAGAAGCUCUGCCUGCGUACCUCCUCAGUUUGGGGGAAGGAGGAGCCCCGACCUGGUCAAAAUCAGCCUUCCUUCCCCAGAGCGCCUGUGACCUGAGACCAGGCAAGAACCACGACUGACCACAGGGGAGAAUCCAGUCACUUUCGUUACACUGUGCUCCUGUUCCUACCUGCUCCUGGACCCUUGGGAAGCCAGCCCCACACUCCUGUAGACUCUCUCUCAUCCCCUAGAUGAGCCUUUUCGUCUACCCCUUGGACAUUCUGACCUCGUACACACCUCGAAGUGUACCGGUAACUCUGCUCUAAUAUGUCAAGUUCUGAAAACAUUUCCACUCUUCUGGCCAAGGAGGCUCAGCCAGUUGUGGGGUGAAAUUUGGGAAGCCUGGAUUGGGAAGUGAAGAUCACCUUGUUCUGUGGAAAGUGAAAGAGGAAUUGAAGCGAGGAAGCUAACGCUCUUCCUUUGGUUCCAGCGCAUCAACCUUCACCUCUCCCCGCAGCACCGCGAUCACCAGCCAUCAAGGCCACCUUGCCCGGUGCCUUUUUUUUAAAAUAUGGCUUUAAAUGCUUCAUCGUGGUUAGAAGACAACAUAGAGAAGCAUUAACAAAAUGAUGGGGAAGACGCAAAAUAGAAGAACAGAGAAAGAAGAAAGAGGAAGUAGAAUUCAGGAGGAGAAAAAAUCAUGACAUUGGUUUAUUGAAAACUGAACAGAAGGCAAAAUUGCACCCAGCCACCUCCAGCCCAGCAGGCUUGUCAAAACCAACUCAGACACAGGGGGACUCUUACCUAUUUGUCUCUGGAUCUUCAGAAUGGAGUCAGGAGAGGUGGCAUUUGGAGGCAGCGGAGCUGUGCUGGUUACCUUCGUUUCCCCCUCUGCAUCUACAGAGGUGUUUUGCACAUAAAAGGAUUUCAACAGAGUGAAAUGAUCACUAACUUUUAAGUUAUAUCUACUCUUGCAAAGUGAAAUGUGGAGUUCAGAUGUCUGGGGGGAUAAAAAGGUGUUAAAAAAAGACCCAAAUGGUCCACAUGAAUAAAAGAUGAUACAUUUGGGCCA
rnacentral:lncRNA from 1 species